rnacentral:rRNA from 1 species
UACGAAGGGUGCAAGCGUUACUCGGAAUUACUGGGCGUAAAGCGUGCGUAGGUGGUUCGUUAAGUCUGUCGUGAAAGCCCCGGGCUCAACCUGGGAAUGGCGAUGGAUACUGGCGGGCUAGAGUGCGGUAGAGGAGAGUGGAAUUCCCGGUGUAGCAGUGAAAUGCGUAGAGAUCGGGAGGAACACCGAUGGCGAAGGCAGGUCUCUGGGCUGACACUGACGCUCAUGCACGAAAGCGUGGGGAGCAAACAGG